CUCAGGACGAACGCUGGCGGCAUGCUUCAUACAUGCAAGUCGAACGAUAAGGUCUCUUCGGAGAUACAUAAGUGGCGGACGGGUGAGUAAUAUGUAGGAAAUCUGCCCUAGAGAGGGGGACAACAGAGGGAAACUUCUGCUAAUACCCCAUAUGAGCGUACCUGAAAUGGUAUUCUUGAAAACUCCGGUGCUCUAGGAUGAGCCUGCAUCUGAUUAGCUAGUUGGCGGUGUAAUGGACCACCAAGGCGACGAUCAGUAGCUGGUUUGAGAGGAUGAUCAGCCACAAUGGGACUGAGACACGGCCCAUACUCCUACGGGAGGCAGCAGUAGGGAAUUUUGCGCAAUGGGCGAAAAGCCUGACGCAGCAAUGCCGCGUGAACGUAGAAGCCCUUCGGGGUGUAAAGUUCUGUCAGUGGGGACGAAUUUUGACGGUACCCACAGAGGAAGCACCGGCUAACUCCGUGCCAGCCGCCGC
rnacentral:rRNA from 1 species